GACAGAGGAUGCAAGCGUUAUCCGGAAUGAUUGGGCGUAAAGCGUCUGUAGGUGGCUUUUCAAGUCCGCCGUCAAAUCCCAGGGCUCAACCCUGGACAGGCGGUGGAAACUACCAAGCUGGAGUACGGUAGGGGCAGAGGGAAUUUCCGGUGGAGCGGUGAAAUGCGCAGAUAUCAGGAGGAACACCGGUGGCGAAGGCGGUUCUCUGGGCAUGAUCUGACGCUGAGGAGCGAAAGUGUGGGGAGCGAACAGG
rnacentral:rRNA from 1 species